rnacentral:lncRNA from 1 species
UUGAUAAGUUAAAGUAAGAAACAAUAGAUAAAAAUUUAAUCAAUUUAAUAAGUGGGUGAGGAGGCAUUUGGAUUAGUAAAGUUGUGAUUUCGUCGUAAAUUAAAUUUGUUCAUAAUCGAAAUAUUAGUUUUGUAAACAUGUAUAAAACUUAUCUGAAGUUCUGAACUAUGAAUCAUUUUGAUUUGAUUAUUCAAUAUUUUAAAAUUUUAUUUUUAUUAUUUAACUUUUAAAUUUGUUCGAUUUACGUUAGUUUAUGAUAUUUUAUUUUUAAGAUUUAAACAUAUUAUUUAUUUUUACAGAUUUAACUAAUAUAUUUAUAUAAUUCUCUUAAUUUUAAAUUCAU